rnacentral:rRNA from 1 species
UACGGGGGGGGUAAGCGUUGUUCGGAAUUACUGGGCGUAAAGGGCUCGUAGGCGGCCAACUAAGUCAGACGUGAAAUCCCUCAGCUUAACUGGGGAACUGCGUCUGAUACUGGAUGGCUUGAGUUUGGGAGAGGGACGCGGAAUUCCAGGUGUAGCGGUGAAAUGCGUAGAUAUCUGGAGGAACACCGGUGGCGAAGGCGGCGUCCUGGACCAACACUGACACUGAGGAGCGAAAGCCAGGGGAGCAAACGGG